rnacentral:rRNA from 1 species
UACGUAGGGGGCAAGCGUUGUCCGGAAUCAUUGGGCGUAAAGCGCGCGUAGGCGGCCCGGUAAGUCCGCUGUAAAAGUCCAGGGCUCAACCCUGGAAAGCCGGUGGAUACUGUCGGGCUAGAGUCCGGAAGAGGCGAGUGGAAUUCCUGGUGUAGCGGUGAAAUGCGCAGAUAUCGGGAGGAACACCAAUUGCGAAGGCAGCUCGCUGGGACGUUACUGACGCUGAGACGCGAAAGCGUGGGGAGCAAACAGG